GUACACUCCUACGGGAGGCAGCAGUGGGGAAUUUUGGACAAUGGGCGAAAGCCUGAUCCAGCAAUGCCGCGUGAGUGAAGAAGGCCUUCGGGUUGUAAAGCUCUUUUGUCAGGGAAGAAACGGUGAGAGCUAAUAUCUUUUGCUAAUGACGGUACCUGAAGAAUAAGCACCGGCUAACUACGUGCCAGCAGCCGCGGUAAUACGUAGGGUGCAAGCGUUAAUCGGAAUUACUGGGCGUAAAGCGUGCGCAGGCGGUUUUGUAAGUCUGAUGUGAAAUCCCCGGGCUCAACCUGGGAAUUGCAUUGGAGACUGCAAGGCUAGAAUCUGGCAGAGGGGGGUAGAAUUCCACGUGUAGCAGUGAAAUGCGUAGAUAUGUGGAGGAACACCGAUGGCGAAGGCAGCCCCCUGGGUCAAGAUUGACGCUCAUGCACGAAAGCGUGGGGAGCAAACAGGAUUAGAAACCCCGGUAGUCCCAUGAU
rnacentral:rRNA from 1 species